rnacentral:pre_miRNA from 1 species
UUACUACUUCCUCCGUUCCGAAUUACUUGUCGCAGGUAUGGAUGUAUCUAGAUGUAUUUUAGUUCUAGAUACAUCCAUUUCUGCGACGAGUAAUUCGAAACGGAGGGAGUACAUU